GCGCCCACACAUACAUGCGGCUCCAAAGCCUUGCAAUCUUGACCAGUGCCGGCCGGACGGACGGAGCGGGGCUGGCGGAGCGCCCUAUCCCACCAUGUCCAUGUGAUGGCGAGGGAACCAGCACGCGCCCUCCCCUCGCGAAUUCAGCCCUCCAUCCAGCUAGCCCAGCCACAAGCCAGGCUGCCACCUCCCCCCCUCCAACCAUCGUCUCCCUCCCUUCCACCUCCACCACACCACGCCCACGCCCACGCCGCACCACAACCGCCGCUCCACCCUGGUUCCACCCCGCCCCCCGCCUCCCCCCUCCCCUCAAAUCCCCCGCCCCCGCGCGUGCCGAAUCCGCCGUCGAUCGCCGCUCCGCCCCCCCACCCAGCGCGCGGCUUCCCGCGAUGGCGCUGUCCGCGUCGGCGGCGUCGGCGGGGAGGGGCGCGCGGGCCGAGAAGGUGCGCAGGAUCUUCGAGCGCUUCGACGCCAACGGGGACGGCGGGCUCGACCGGGCCGAGAUGGCCAAGCUCGUCGUCGCCGUCAACCCACGGGUCAAGUUCAGCGACGACCAGAUCUCCGCCAUCCUCGACGAGGUCUUCCGCACCUACGCCGAGUUCAUCCUCCCGGGGGGGCAGGGCCUGUCUCUCACCGGCCUGCUCCGCACCUACGACGACGGCGCCGGGGACGUCGACCGCGACUUCCUCGCGCUCUCCCUUCCCGCCGUCGACUCCGACGCUUCCUCCCCCGAGAUCGGGCCCGGGGACGCCGCCGCCUCCUCCUCCCCGACCUCCGGCGCCGCCGUCGCCGCCUCGCUGCUCGACGACCACCUCAAGCCGCUCGGCAUCGGCGGCACGGGCCCCUCGUCCAGCUCCCGCGCCGCCGUCGCCGCGCCGGCCUGGGCGACCUCGCCCAGCCACGGGAUUGCCUUCGAUUCCUCCUGGGCGCUCCUCGACGACCUGGAGAUACUCGUCAAGCGCCUCCGCUCCAAGCAGCUGCGGAAGACCUCCUCGGUCGACACCAGCGGGGGCGGCAGCAAUCUCGACUCCUUCUCCGAGGCCGGCUGGUCCAGGGAGAUCUCCGCCUCCGCCGAUUCGGGUUUGGCGUCCGCGCCGUGGGACGAGACCAGCCGGGACUACCUCACCUUCGUCAAGGAGCUCGCUGUUCUCCGCACGCGCGCGGACGCCUCCCGCUCUCGCGAGGAGGCCUUCGACAACCACAUGGUCAUCGGCCGGGCGCUCUCCGAGCACCGCCUCUUCCGAGACGCCCUUGCCAGCUUCCGCCGUGCCUGCGAGCUUCAGCCCACCGACGUCCGCCCGCACUUCCGCGCUGGUAACUGCCUCUACGCCCUGGGCCGCCACGCCGAGGCCAAGGAGGAGUUCCUCCUUGCCCUCGAGGCGGCAGAGGCAGGUAACUCCCAGUCCGCGGACAUUCUCCCACAGAUCCAUGUCAACCUUGGUAUUGCAAUGGAGGCUGAGGGGAUGGUGCUUGGUGCCUGCGAGCACUAUCGAGAGGCUGCCAUACUGUGCCCAUCCCAUGCCCGCGCGCUGAAGCUCCUUGGGAGUGCACUCUUUGGUGUUGGGGAAUACCGUGCAGCGGAGAAGGCACUGGAGGAGGCCAUCUUCCUGAAGCCAGACUAUGCUGAUGCGCACUGUGAUCUUGGGUCAGCCUUGCAUGCAGUAGGGGAUGAUGACCGUGCAGUUCAGGAGUUCCAGAAAGCAAUUGAUCUUAAACCUGGGCAUGUUGAUGCCUUAUACAAUCUUGGUGGAUUGAACAUGGACGCAUGCCGAUUUGUGCGAGCUGCGGAGAUGUAUACUCGUGUGCUGAGCAUCCGACCAAACCAUUGGCGUGCUCAGCUAAACAAGGCAGUCGCUUUGCUUGGGCAGGGAGAGUCCGAGGAGGCCAAGAAGGCACUCAAGGAGGCAUUUAAGAUGACACAAAGGGUGGAGGUGUAUGAUGCCAUCUCACAUCUGAAGACACUGCAGAAAAAGAAGCUAAAGCCUUCAAAAGGAAAACAUGAUGCUCAAGGAGAGGAAGCCUUUGUUAUUGUAGAAGCAUCCAAGUUCAAGAGGGUUGGAAGCAAGACCACAUUGCGGCAGGAUUUGGCCAAUGCCCUUGAUAUAAGGGCAUUCGAGAGGACGACAAAGCUUGGCCACUGUGAUGCUGAGCUUCUGAGGAAAGAGAUGAAUGAGACUGAUGUCCCCGUAUCCUACUCAGGCACUGGCAUCCCAGAGAAGUCGAUCAGGAAAGCAGCUCUUGAGGUUAUUCUUCGCAGGCUCCUAUCUUUCCUCAAGCCAGAUACCUUCCAGGGUGCUGUCAAGGCAAUGAAUGAAAGAAUUCUCUCGGUCCUUGAUGCGUCUGGCUCUGGCCGCGUUGAUCUUGGGAUGUUCUUUGCUAUCAUUGCUCCAAUCUGUUCUGGUCCUGUGGAUAGGCGCAAGCGUGUCGUCUUCGAUGCACUCCUUUGGCGUCCUGCAAGCGAAGGUGGCAGGGGCCAGAUCAGGAGGAGUGACGCGCUAAGUUACAUUAAACUUCUCCGUGCCGUUUACAUACCAACCAAUGGGGCUAGCGACAUGCUUGAAAUGCAUGGGGAGUCCGACCCUACCAUGGUAUCGUACACAGAGUUCCUCGAGAUGUUCAAUGAUCCUGAUUGGGGGUUUGGAAUUCUAACCACACUGGUGAAGCUUGAAGACAGUGAUCAUGUUCGCCAUGGCAGCCACACCUGCUCCAUAUGCAGAUAUCCUAUCAUCGGUUCACGGUUCAUGGAAACAAAACACUCGUUUAGCUUGUGUAACCGGUGCUACAGUGAAGGGAAGGUUCCAUCAGCCUUCAAGUUGGAGGAGUACAGGUUCAAAGAAUACAGCAACGAGUCGGAGGCUCUUAUAGACAAGUGCAUGUGCUUUAAUUUGAAUUCUAAGAAGCUGGAAGCUGAUGCUUGAUUGUUGGAGCAUCGGCGUCGAGUUGUUGAGGACGAAUCUGUGUAUGCCCUUUGUAGUUGUGAAGAUGCCUAGUUAGCUCUCCUGCCCGCCCUCUUGUAAACUAAGGUCCUGUUCUUUUUGGAGUUCGCCAAAUGUGUUCCGACCCUAAGCUGUUAGCUAUUGUUGGUUCCAAGUGUAUGGGAGCAAGAGCAUGUGAACUCCAAAUACACUCCCUGUAACCACAUCCCAAAUCAAUGCUACCAAGGCUUUGAAGUGUUUCUGAGCCGGAUGUGUUGUUCAGACCAACAGUUUUGGUUGCGCUGAGGGAGUAUUUUUGUGCAUUUUAGGUUUCAGGUAUGUAGUAUUUUUGUGCAUUUUAGGUUUAAGGUAUGGUUCCAGGGGCAUAACGGAACACCAAUAUCUAUGUUGUUUCUUUUCAACUGCUUUUCUUGGC
rnacentral:rRNA from 1 species